AGCUCUAACGGGUGGAACCGUAAUCGGCGAAAGAGGGGAUUCAGCCGGCUGGUCUUGAGUGACUGGGUACAGUAGUAUGACUCGGCAUGAUUGUCAGUUGCCGUGGCUCUGUCCUAGUCGACCCAAGGCUAGCCAGCCGGUUUACUUCUCCCUCUAGUAGCGCUCGUCGCGAGCCGCUGGUUGGACUCUGACGCUGCAUUACCUGAUUGGUAGCCCGCCAGCCAUUAUAGCGGGCGAUGACCGGUGGUAGUGUAGGGUCUGGCCGGCGGUUUCUCAGGGGGGCUGCGUAAGUGGCCUCUCGCGAUGAGAUUCGAUGUUGGUAAUCCACCUGACCCGUCUUGAAACACGGACCAAGGAGUCCAACAAUGGCGCGAGUCUAAGGGUUUUGAAACCUGGAGGCGAAAUGAAAGUGAGCCCCCUUUUAGGGGGCCGGCCGAUCCCUUGUCGGCUCAUAGCUCAGCGGCGCAAUGACAGGCUUCAGGCAUUGGUGCUUGAUGAUGCCGUUGGUGUUGUGGACGACGGCCGGUCUACCAUGGGCCGGAGAUGGGGCGCAGGCCAAGGACUUGUCAUAGUGCAGUGCGGGCAACGGGCUUCCUACUUCUGUCAAGUGGGUUGUCUUAUCCCGAUUUCCGCCGGCAAGUACCUGAGAGCGCUGACGUUGGGACCCGAAAGAUGGUGAACUAUGCCUGGCUAGGACGAAGCCAGAGGAAACUCUGGUGGAGGUCCGAAGCAGUUCUGACGUGCAAAUCGAUUGUCAGAGCUAGGUAUAGGGGCGAAAGACUAAUCGAACCAUCUAGUAGCUGGUUCCCUCCGAAGUUUCCCUCAGGAUAGCUGACAUUCACGGUGAUGAGUUUCAUCCGGUAAAGCGAAUGAUUAGAGGCCUUGGUGGUGCAAUGCCGUCAACCUAUUCUCAAACUUUAAAUGGGUGAGAUGUAGAGCUUGCUUGAGCCAUUUGAAGAAGCUCUACGAUUCAGAAUCAGAGUGUC
rnacentral:rRNA from 1 species